UUAAGUUCAGCGGGUAGUCCUACCUGAUUUGAGGCCAGAUCAUAAAAAGUGAUGUCCGAAGACAGUCGGGUUAGAGAGCGGACCUUUGUUGAGAGUCUUGGCCACCCCAGAAGGGAUGUCCUCAGCGAAAUACUUAAUUACGCCAAGUAGAACCAAGUCUUACGACAUGUCCAGCUAAUCCUUUUAAGGUGAGCAGCGCA
rnacentral:misc_RNA from 1 species